GAUGAAGAACGUAGCGAAAUGCGAAAAGUAAUGUGAAUUGCAGAAUUCAGUGAAUCAUCGAAUCUUUGAACGCACCUUGCGCCCUUUGGCCAUUCCGAAGGGCAUGCCUGUUUGAGUAUCAUGAACACCUCAACUCUCAUGGCUUGCCAUGAUGAGCUUGGACUUUGGGGGUCUUGCUGGCCUGUGGUCGGCUCCUCUCAAAUGAAUCAGCUUGCCAGUGUUUGGUGGCAUCACAAGUGUGAUAACUAUCUGCGCUCGUGGUUUCCAUCAGAUAACCUCCAGUGAUGGAGGUUCGCUGGAGCUCAUAAAUGUCUCUCCUAAGCGAGGACAGCUCUUUUAAUGUUUGAUCUCAAAUCAGGUAGGACUACCCGCUGAACUUAAGCAUAUCAAUAAGCGGAGGA
rnacentral:misc_RNA from 1 species